rnacentral:lncRNA from 1 species
UGUGCGGGUGGUCUAAAAAGUCCAAGAAAAAUCUAAUCCAAAAGAGCACCCAAAAGUCACGGAUGCCUCCCUUCAUUUCCUUAACAGUAUCAACGGCUGUUAAUGCUCCCAGGUCGCGCAUUGCUCGACGCGUCUGCCGUACAUUCAUAGCUUUAUCUCGUCUUAGAUUAAUAUAAAAACAUCUGUCUUUUUAUUUAUUUUUAAACAAUUAGGUAUCAUAUAAUAUAAUCAGUCUUCAUACGUGAAGAUUAUCCGUUUAUCAUCUUAAUUAGUUGGAUGUCGCAAUCUUUUUUAAUAUUUAGUCAUUGGAUAGAAAUAUACAAAGGCAUUAGACCGGUCCUAAUUCUACUUGUAUUGUUGG